UUAGGGUUAGGAUUAGGGUUAGGGUUGAGGAAGGAAAGGAGGAAAAGUAGUUUGGAGAGUUGGCCUAUGGUCUAAGGUAUUCUGGAGGGCCCCUGCUUAGAGUUAUUAGGAUUAGGGUUAUUAGGAUUCAGGUUAUUAGGGUUAGGGUUGAGCAAGUAUAGGAGGAAAAGUAGUUUGGAGAGUUGGCCUAUAGUCUAAGGUUUUCUGGCGGGCCCCUGGCAUUCCAGUCCAACACUGGAGACAUGGCAUUAAUACAGUAUAUUGACAGGAAAAGUAAUGACCACAAAUUCCAGGGAUGUCAUUCAUUUUUAUUUAGGUUGAUGAGGACACCCAAUGGCUCCCAGAAUUUCAGCUGCUGAGAUUCCAUCUCUUGGACCAAUCAGAUGUCUUAACCAAAUUGUAAGGUCCUAACUAAACAAGUAAUCUUAUGUUUAGAAAGCUCCGAGUAUCCAUGGUAACGAGGUGAAGACGGACUUGAGUAUCUCCUGUAGGUUGGACUGAAGCCACCUCAGAUACCUGCGCAAUGUAAAGAUACAGAAUGUGUGCGGGGAAAUGGGUUUUUUUGUUUUUUUAAAUCUAUAUAUGGAAAAGUUAUAAAUGUAUUCUGCACAGAUAUUUAUCUUAUCAGCUGAUCAGCUGUUUUUUGUGAUGUAGCGAAGACAACCUCAGAUCACACAGACGGUGGGAAGGUUGAGACUGCACUGAAGGGGUCCUGGGAGGGACAAUCCGCGAGUGAAUGUGUUGCAACCAAUCAGUGGCCACGUGUCAGUUAUGAGGGAAUUUCUUUGUCCAUGACAUUUACCAAUCAAUAAUAUUCCACAGGUGCCUAUGGGGAAAAAUGUUCCUUAAUAAAUGUCUAGAAUUUUUGUUUUU